CACACUUCGACCGAUCCUCGGCUACCAGAUCUUUGAAGUCACCAGCCAUUGGCCAAGCCGUGGCCGAAUUGCGGCCACCUGGACCUCCUCUCCCUCGGCGUCCACCAUCAGAUCGCCACCCACCUCUAUGAGUUUUGGCCCAUCGGUGGCCUUGCCCCGGCCCUAAUCGCACUACUCCACCUCCACAAUGUUUGCUAGUGGAAACUGGCAAUCACUCUCAACGAUGGAUUGGCCAAAGGGAAGCGGUAGUCGCCAUUACAGUGGCUGAUCCGACCGCACUGGUAGCAGACUGUCAGCAUGUUUUCAAACACACAAGGCUACCGUAUCGCCUUUCCCUUCCCUCGGAUGGACACCUCUGGCUUCCAUGGCAUCAAUCUCAACUCGGAUCCGGGCAUACCCAAGCUUUUGGAGCUGAUCAAUAAAAUUAUAAAUGACGAUCAGCCUCCCAGCUUCCUCGACGAUCCCCGAGAUCAUCAUAUUGUUCCACAAUUCGAUCGGAAGGCCGGAUAAUCGUAGCCACACGACAUUCUUCUGAACAACAUCUAUGCCCAGAACAAAGUUUGGCACCCACGGCUCGAUGGAAAGAAGUUGCUCGGUGAUGAACCGGGGGCCACCAUUAAGGAUGAUAUCCCACUCCUCCACUGAUCGAAAGCGGAAUAUUUGGUGCUCCUUCGCAAGUGAGAAGGCCUCGACCUCCUCUUGAAGCUUCGCCCUUUUCUUAAAGUCUCUGGUCACCCACUCGGUCGGGACUCUCUAACCCAGGCUCCAAGUAAUCACUGCAACAUUCUCCCAUUUCUGGCGAGAGUCCUCCAUCACCUCCUCCAAGAACUUGAGAACUUUGGUAAAGUACAUGUGCAGCAGCACAAUCUCCGCCUCGAUGAUCUUAUGAGAAGUCCAUGAUGCCCUGGACCACUAUUGCCCAUGACUGGCUGUUCUCACUGGAGCCUGAUGAGAAUCGUCCCCCAUCACUCCUGGAUUUCCCCUAUGCAUCUACCAAUUACCUCCAACGCAAGAGCAACAACCCAUUCGAAGAAAAGCCUUAAUGUAGUAUGGAAAUUGAUGCACAGUGCUUGGAACGAGCGAAACCGAACCCAACUUACCUUUAUCAUCCCAUUCUCUUUUCAUCAAGGAUUACAAUAACAGACUUUUCGAUUGGUGGGUGGCUUGCUCCCUCAUUAUAAUUGUGGUGGGUCAGUUUGUCAUCAAGUUCAUUUUGGAAGAGAUUAGUGCAUGCAUGAUGUUUAUUUUCUUGGAGAUGUAUACAAGAAUGUUCUGGUUGGCAAGGUCAUUGUACUAUAAUCCUGUUUGGCAUUUUAGUGUGGCUACUUGGGAUACUAUAUUUCAUAAUCCUCUUCCUGAUCUGGAUAGUUUGGAGCGUAGAAACCGAAGUUUGAGAACAAUGUUAGCUGCAGCAUCACUUGAGCUUGGGGCUGCUUGCUACAGAGAUCUGAUUAAAGUGUCGAAUUCUGGAUGAAGAUGCCAGAGGUAUUUCAAUCAAAAUGGCCUCUGCCGACUUUUUCUACAGCUUGACUGGGUUCUCAAGGAUAAUAGAAGUGGAGAAUGAUCAUCAGAUGUGGGCCUUACAAGAGCAAUAAGAGUGGACAGCAGUGCUAUGGGAGGAGACAUGGUGCUCGUUCUCUAUUACCGCCGUAUAAUACCCCUUGUAAAGGUGGUUGCAAUCGCCCAAGAUCAGACUAAACACAAAGUCUGAAGGAAGUUUGCACCAUUCAGCUUCCUUGCCCAGGAGACCUGCCAUAUGAUGAUCAUCCAUAUUGUUGGAUGGGCCUUAUUUUUGUGGCCUGCAAACUGGUUCAGAUCAUUCAACCAUUAUGACAAAGAGAUGAGAGUAUCAAGCAUUGGGCAGAUAGCAGAAGAAAACUUCAACUAUUACAUGUUCAUUAGAGGAAAAAAAAAAGACUUGCAUUUCUCCUAACACCGGUAACUCUUUUAUCAGAUAUACCAUUCUCAUGUACUUUUAGCUUUAAGCGUCAUCAAAACAUUAAGAUCUCACUGACAUGAAGAAAUAUAAGAUCGAAUAUU